rnacentral:rRNA from 1 species
GAUGAACGCUGGCGGCGUGCUUAACACAUGCAAGUCGAACGGAAAGGCCCAAGCUUGCUUGGGUACUCGAGUGGCGAACGGGUGAGUAACACGUGGGUGAUCUGCCCUGCACUUCGGGAUAAGCCUGGGAAACUGGGUCUAAUACCGGAUAGGACCACAUUUUGGAUGGUGUGGUGGAAAAUUUUUCGGUGUGGGAUGAGCUCGCGGCCUAUCAGCUUGUUGGUGGGGUAAUGGCCUACCAAGGCGUCGACGGGUAGCCGGCCUGAGAGGGUGUACGGCCACAUUGGGACUGAGAUACGGCCCAGACUCCUACGGGAGGCAGCAGUGGGGAAUAUUGCACAAUGGGCGCAAGCCUGAUGCAGCGACGCCGCGUGGGGGAUGACGGCCUUCGGGUUGUAAACUCCUUUCGCUAGGGACGAAGCGCAAGUGACGGUACCUGGAGAAGAAGCACCGGCUAACUACGUG